GCUGGGCACAGUGGCACAUGCCUGUAAUCCUAGUAGCUUGGGAGGCUGAGGCAGGAGGAUCAGGAGUUCAAAGCCAGCCUCUG
rnacentral:sRNA from 1 species